GCGUAGAGGGACACGAUGUCCCCAAUGUAGAGGAAGCUGGACAUUUUGUCAGACAUGCUGCUUCACGCUCCUGUGGCCGUCCCCGCUGUCUCCGCUGCGCGCAACGGCGAGGUUUCUCCCUGAGGCGGAGGCUCUCUCAUUCUCAGCUGGGCUGGAAUGCAGCAAGUUCCAGCAAGCUUCCUGUCUCCACCCCUGGCCCCUGGAGCUGGGAUUACAGAGCAUCUCGGCCCUGCAAGACCUAUCAAGGAUGCUGCAGUCAGAAGCAUUGUGUUCACGAUGAACACAAGGUAUUAGCUUUUGGAAUAUUGUAAAGCAUAUGCUCAGGACUUGGGGUGUGUAUAGCUCACCAGGAGAGCAUCUGUCGAGCAUCCAGGAGGCCUUGGUUUUGAUCGCCAGCGCAGAGGAAUGAAGAAGAGGAGGAGAAGGAGGAGCAGGGAGGGGAAGGGGAAAAGAAUAAACGAGAAUUGAGAUUCAUCCAAAUAUUAGCGAGGAUACCAGUUCACGAAUCAACUCUUUGCCAAAAUUUAUGCAAAUAGUGAACCCUGGGCCCUCAUUUGCCUUAUGUGGAGAGUGAGCACAAUAAUGAUGCCUGCAGUAAUGGUCUAGAUUAGGAAACACGUUUAAUAACUUUGGCAUGGCAGAGCCUGGCAUGAAGCAAGUGCUCAAAUAAAUGCUAGUUGCUAAGAUGAUGAGACAAGCGACAAUGGGUGUCACAGAUACCUCACAAUCAGAUGUCACCACCAGAGCACAAUGCCACCAGUGCCUGAGCCCCUGCCAGCAACACCUCCAGAGACUUCCUCAACAGCUCUUCCAUACACACGCCAGACCGUCUGGGAACACAAGCAAGCACUUGCUAAUGACUGGCGUGUGGGUUCUCUCAGAGACCUCCUUUAAUAUAUGCAAAAGAAAUCAUUUUUUUAAACAGGUAGACAUAACAAAGGAAUAGUGUGAUACUAAAAUAAAUAAAUAAUACAUUUAUUUUUUUAAAAGAUGUCUAAGUAACCACCUGCAGAUGCCAUGUGAGAACGCUAACUUCCACAAGUCAAGGCUUUCGGUCGUUUCUCAGAAUGGAGCACAUAACACCCACGGAGAAACUGCACUGCUAUGCUGGCAUCACCGGGGAAGGACAGACACGCCUACAAACUCCGUAACAUGGGCAUCAGUGUACACAGAGAGUGUCGCGUGGCCAGUUAAGGUUCUAAAAUACCAAGAGAGGUUUGCAAGGCAUGGGCUCAUUUCCAAGAUCCCUUGAGGGUCUCUGCACUGAUCUCAAUUGCUCCUAUCAGGAUUUGAACCCUGGCCUGACGUCCAGAAGGUCCUUGCUGGCUGGUAAAAGCUAACAGGAAGUGAAAGACUUCAGAGAGUCUGCAGAGAUGAAAACCGCGUACUGCAAGGAAGAAACUGGAUUGUGUCUGUGUGGAACAUUCACGGUAGCAAGCUUUCUUGUCAGACUGUCUUUGGAUCCAGCCCCAAAAGAAUGACACGGAAACGUAUUAUUAAGUAUGAAAUCUUGGCCUUUAGUCUAGGCUUGUUUCCAACUAGCUCUUACAACUUAAGUAACCCAAAUGUUUGUAAUUCUGCCAUGGGGCUCUUUACCUUCCCUCAGUACAGCACGUCCUACUUGCUUCAAGUCUGCUGGUAAAUUCCACGCACCUAGAUUCCUUCUCCUCUUCCCCUCUCCCUCCUCAGAAAUCCCAUCUAUCCUCUCCCGCCUAUCUACUGGCCGUUCAACUCCUUAUUAAACCAAUCAGAAGGUGCCUCGGAAAAGACACAGCCUCACAGUAUAGGAAGAGACUCUCCCACAACUGUUCACAUCUGUUCUCUGAGCCUAGUGCAGUUCACACUCAGUCCGCCCGUGGGACCACCCAACAAGAGCUGCGCUGACAAAGGAGAGACUUCCAUUUUCAUCUCACUAUGACCAUGAUGUCUGACAGGAAGACUUCAACGAGGACAGCCAAGUAAACAACAUGAUGUCUUAUCUAAUCACUUUAAAUGUUGGCAUGAGAAUGUAAAAGUGUGUCCUAAGGGAAUAAGCUGAUGUAUCAAAAAUGCUACAUUCACAGUUACACAGAAUUGCUAAUAAAGUAAAUGUUGAACAACGGCAGAUCAGUGUUGGCAUGGAUCUUGGUCCGUGAGUCUUAUGAACAUGGAAUAAGCGCUAGAGGGGUGCUGAGCAGCUAAG